rnacentral:rRNA from 1 species
AUUGAACGCUGGCGGAAUGCUUUACACAUGCAAGUCGAACGGCAGCACGGGGGCAACCCUGGUGGCGAGUGGCGAACGGGUGAGUAAUACAUCGGAACGUGCCCGGUCGUGGGGGAUAACGUAGCGAAAGUUACGCUAAUACCGCAUACGAUCUGAGGAUGAAAGCGGGGGACCUUCGGGCCUCGCGCGAUCGGAGCGGCCGAUGUCAGAUUAGGUAGUUGGUGGGGUAAAGGCCUACCAAGCCGACGAUCUGUAGCUGGUCUGAGAGGACGACCAGCCACACUGGGACUGAGACACGGCCCAGACUCCUACGGGAGGCAGCAGUGGGGAAUUUUGGACAAUGGGCGCAAGCCUGAUCCAGCCAUUCCGCGUGCAGGACGAAGGCCUUCGGGUUGUAAACUGCUUUUGUAUGGAACGAAAAGGCUCUGGCUAAUACCUGGGGCUCAUGACGGUACCGUAAGAAUAAGCACCGGCCAACUACGUG